rnacentral:lncRNA from 1 species
ACCACACCUAAGGCUUAUGGAGAGAGCCUGAGGUAGAGCCUCCGCCCCAUCCACCUCAGUCUCGGGGCUGAAUUCCAGACCUUGUUGGAGAAGGCAUGGCCAUGGCUCACUGGAUGGCAGGGAAGCUGCUGUGGUGCUGUACAAGAAGAACCUGCUGGAAACCUGCCCUUGAGAGUGCCAGGGAAAGCUGUUCACAGAGCGUUGUCUCUAUGACACAAGGCACUAGACUAUGAGAUUGCCCUGUGGGGAGACAAGGCAAAGCUCCUGGCCACUGGGUACUGCUGACCAUGUACCCUGAGGGGAUUGGGGCUGGGAAAGUCACCAUUACUGCAGGUGCUGGACACUGCUGAAGCCCUUGGGGCCACCAGAAACCUGGUGCUAAAGAAGCCCUGCCAGGUGCACAAGACAAGUGAGCUCCCAGAACCGGGCAGGCAACGAAGGGUGAAUCUGGAGCUGAGAGGCAUGAAUAACUGGCACAGGAUGACACACAGUUGUACUUAAUGUGUGAGUCUCAUGGUACUCAGCCUCUAUCCUGAAGAGCGUUGGACCCUGGAGCUGCUGGCCACAUCUUGAUCUGCCAUAUGUGGUCCAAGAAUGAAGUCAACACGAAGGAGAAUGAAGGUGCUGAGGGAUAAAGUUAUUGACAUUCUAGGAGCUCCUGGAUCAAACCAUGCCUGAACUCAAUUUAUCCCUUGAACUUUUCAAUUACAUGAAUAAAUCCUCCUUUUGCCUGAGUCAAUGUGGAUUAGUAUCAUUGGCAUUCAGAAGAUUCCUAAAGUCUCAGGUCUUCUGCACAUCUAUAACCAUGGCAAUUGCGGUCCUGCUCUCCUUUCCCCUCCCCUGAGCAGGCAAGCUUUCCUUCUCUAUCAUGUAAACCUCCUGGGUCAUUCAGAGUAUUUCUCAAAUGUUACCUGGAGUUUCCCAAGACUUCAGUUCUCACUGACCAUUUACUUCUUAAACUGCUAGGAUGAUAACCUAUAACUUUGCAUCUAACCAAUCCCUUAGCACUUUCCUUAGAGACUUCUUAGAGAUCUUUUUGAUGCCUAAGGGUAGGAAUCAGGGCUUCUCUAUCUUGUAUAUGCACUGCCCCCCACCCACAGGUCCAUAGAAUAACAGCUGAGGACCUGUAGCUCUACAAGGGCAGGGACUGUCAAACAUGCCAGACUGCACAUGGUAGUUACCACUAGAGGGCUCUGGGUAUGGGCAAUAAGCAGGACUUCUGCAUUUUACAUCUAUGCUAUCAUUCGAGUCUUGUAUGAGCAUUUAUUUUACAAAUCUCUAUCUUGCAAAGCAAACCCUUAGUGUGAAUAACUGAGGAGUGGUGGAUCGGCCAGCUCUUCCGUGCAGUGUUCUAAAGCCUCUUGCUCCUGUCUCUCCUGUGGGAAACCCAUAGUUACGGCUUCAAGCAGAGACCCAAGCACCACCUCAGGGUCUUGACCUUGUGUGGGAAUAAUCUAUCACCAAGAUGCAGACAGAGACAAACUGCUUCACAGAGCAUUUUAUCCCCUAGAAAAUCCCCAACCCCAGCAUCCUGGGUGCUGCCCAACCUCUUCAAAUACAAAGGCAAAUAAAAUAAAUAAAAGUAAAUAUUGUACUCAUAAGCAACAGAAUGCCUAGCAACCAAGAACAAGGGAGGGCUGGAGGAAGAAGGUUGACUUUCGCAGGCCCUUGUGUAUAAACUGCAGUAAAAGUCUUCUCUGUGUGAAUAAUAUAUUUUUGAGCGUUAAAUUAUAGAAGGUGUAAGGAAUGCUAAGGCUGAGACCCAACAGAGAGAGCUGGCCCCACCCUGAAUGGGAGGGGCAGGGGUCUCCUUGGUCUUUGUCCCUGCUGACUGGUAUUGAGGGAGGGGGAGUCUCCGCUGUAGCUUCAGGAAUGGAACACAGGGCACCAGGCCUCAGUUAAUCCCUUUAGGGACCCUUAGCCCUGAAACAAUGCUGGUGCAACCCCACAUGUAACUCAGAAGAAAAUGUUAAGUCACGAAAUAAAUGUAAGAGCUCUGAUGUUUUUCUAUAACACCCAUUUCAAUGCUUUGUUAGAAAGUAUGUACGUAAAGCACAUGACAUUGUUCUCAUUAAAUUUUUUUGUUACGAAAACUUUUAAACACACUCAGAAGAGUAGGAUUUUUGAACCUCUCAUCUGGGUACAAUAUUAUUAAAAUUCUGC